UACUGCCACUCACUGGAGCUGCCUGCAGGUGCCAGAUGUACCAGCACCACAGCCAAGAUGGGACCUGCCUGCUUCUGUGGAGGGAUGUAAUUUUAACACCACUAUAUAUAUCACCUGAUAAUGUUGACUUAACUUUCCGCAAUGAACUCUGGAAAUCCUCUUCUAAAUUUAGGUAAAUUUCACCAUUUUCAUUUUUAAAAACUCAUAGUGAUACAGUAUUUUCUGUUAAGUGUCCUUUAUUAUUUUUAUUACAAACACAACUUAUUAUGUUUUUCUUUUUUCUUUUUUUGUAGUUUUGAAUUCUUCUCUUCUUGUUUCUUUUAGACAAUCUCACAACUUGGACAAAGUCCCGUCUCUAUCAAGAUUAAGAUCAGCAACAUAACAGGACUAGUUUUCAACUAUCUGCCUCUGGAACUCAAAUCUUUGUUAAUUUUUUCUGUAAAGUUUAAUAAAUUUUACUUUACUUUC